rnacentral:rRNA from 1 species
GGAUCAGUAUGUUGGUCAUGCCUUGGUAUGUACUGGUGUCACUGAUUCCUCCCUUCUGAAGAACUGUCAUGCCAUUCACUUGGUGUGGCGGGGAAUCAGGACUGUUACUUUGAAAAAAUUAGAGUGUUUAAAACAGGCUUAUGCUUGAAUACAUUAGCAUGGAAUAACGGAAUAGGACUU